UACAGAGGGUGCAAGCGUUAAUCGGAUUUACUGGGCGUAAAGGGCGCGUAGGUGGUAAAGCAAGUAGAAUGUGAAAGCCCUGGGCUUAACCUGGGAAGUGCGUUCUAAACUGCUUAACUAGAGUAUGGUAGAGGGUAGUGGAAUUUCCGGUGUAGCGGUGAAAUGCGUAGAUAUCGGAAGGAACGCCAGUGGUGAAAACGACUACCUGGACCAAUACUGACACUGAGGCGCGAAAGCGUGGGGAUCAAACAGG
rnacentral:misc_RNA from 1 species